UUCUUGGUGUCGCUGCUGAAGAGCCCGAAGGCCGCGGGAGCCGAGGGGGUCACGGUGGGAGCCGCCUCCUGCGCCAGCUCGGACGCCGCCUCUCCGCCCUGCUCGCUUACCAAAAAUGCACCAGACAAGAAGGUAGAUGGAUGAAGAAUGGAUGGAAGGAAGAAUGUAGAACCAGUGGAAAAUAAUGGGAUGAUGAAUUUGGAUCACUAUUUCAAACUCGACCUCUCCUACCUUAAAAUUAGGUUUUAGAAAACAUAUACUGUAAGCAACAUGGAAGAAUUUGAGGAAAGCAUCAUAUGCUUUUUGUCCUAUUCUCCCUGGUCUCCAUCCCAGAAUGAACAAUGCAAAAAAAAAUGAAGCUGAAUAUGACAAAUCUGGAGCAGAAUAUGAAGCUUGUACAUGUGCAUGCAAUCUGCCUUGGAGAAGCUGGGUGUUCAUUUCAAAAGACUGUGGGAUUCCUCGAAGAAAGGAACACUAACAGAAAUACUUUUCCACACUAGUGGCCGUCACCUUUGUUUUAAUACUUAGGUCCCGGAUAUGGCAAAACCCAGACACUUCUACUGCUUUCCUGCCUAACGUUUAGCAAAAGCAAAUCUUGCUGCCUUCCCAAUCUUGCUUCCUUUCCAGUCUUGCUCCCUUGGCAGCCUGCAUGUUACCCACACGCCAGCAAACUGAGGGGGCAGCUGUAGCAAGGCCCAGGGCAACGCAGAUACUUUGUAGGCUCCAGAGCCCAGCUGCACUGGCUCCAUCAGACAGGAUCCAGCUUCCGUCGGCUUCCCAGAACCAGCCUGGCCAUUGCCCCCUCCCUCGCCCCCUCUCCACCCUGGGGCACAGCCCCUGCCACCAAAGCCUUGCUAGGCAGCGCCAUUUGCUGGGCUAGAUCAAAGAGUGCCUUUGAUUCUUCUUUGGUGCAAAUGCCUAAGCUGUGAGAAGCGAGAGGAUGAUGAUCACAGCCGCUCUGCUGUAGCUAAGGAGAUUGGUGGAGGCCCAGAGCGGGAGACUGGUCCUUGAAAGAGAAACUGAAAGUGAACUACUGAUGUCUUUGUGGUGCGUGUGGAUAUGAAUUUGAUAGAAUCGGAGAGGUUAGAAACGUCCUCCAAGGUGGUCAAGUCCAUCGGUCCCCAAAAUGAAACAAAGUUUUGUUGCUGGGCAACAGAAAGGACUAAAGCUGCUGCUUUUAUGCCAGAAAAUAUAGUGAGACAAAACCACUCAUUUAGAUCCAAUGCAUUGAAUUAAAAAAAAAGCCUCCUUUUCCACUCCCGGCUGAGAGUUUUGAGAAUCUAAGGAUGAAGGCCCAGCGUCAUUUCAUUGGCAGGAAUGGAGACACGCCUUUGGAAGUCCUGCCAGCUGAGCAAGGGGCUGGGCCUGGGGGAGGACUCACGUGCCCAGAUUCUUCUCUCAGGGCAAGCGCCGUGGUUGCAGCACCGGGCAAAUGGAGCAAACAUUGCCGGAGGGAUUUCAUACAGACAAAAAGACAAAAUGGAACAAACUUUGGUUUAAUGCUAAAGACUGAGUGUGACUCAACAAAGGCAAAAUGACAAAAGACGGAGCAUAGCCAACACCAAACUUCUUACAUUUACUGAUACAUCUAAUACUACUAAUGCACCUUGAAUAAUACUAAUGGAUCUUAACUAAUAAAUUGAGGAGAUUCCUCUCAUGUAAACUAACUAAGUGGAAGAUUAAACUAGCCUAAGGACUUAAAAAACAGUCUUAUUCCUAUUGAAGCCUAACUCUUGCUAGCCCUGGAGAACUGCAGGCUUGUCUAAUUUGGUCUUUUCUUCUUGGCGAGAGGCUCUGCUUCCUUCCGUGGGCGAUGUCUUCUCCGGUGUUUGUUCCUUUCCUUCAUGGUUUCAAAGA